ensembl:misc_RNA Metazoa_SRP Metazoan signal recognition particle RNA
GCUGGGCGCGGUGGCUCACGCCUGUAAUCCCAGCACUUUGGGAGGCUGAGGCGGGUGGAUCACCUGAGGUCAGGAGUUCGAGACCAGCCUGGCCAACAUGGUGAAACCCUGUCUCUA